AAGACCUUAGUAAAACCAUUACAUAGCCCUGUCAGAGCUAAAUUACAGAAUAGACCCCCUGUAGGCCUUA
rnacentral:tRNA from 1 species